UAAUCCUCCUCCAAGGCAGGAAAUCUAAUUUCACUAUGUUGUGGAUGCUCAUUAAAUAUUUAUUGAAAAGUGGGAGAAGGGAAAAAGAAGAGAGGUAGAGAAAGGAGGAGGAACAGAUGGGGGAGUGGAAGAGAGCACACCCGUGCUGCUGCACUCAGCCAGGUCUCCCUGCGGCUCACACAUUGCUCCUGACUCCCGUGGUUUCCAAACUUGUUCAUCUGCUGCUCCCUAAGAGCUUCUCUGUAGCUGAGCCGUCUGCCUUGAUCAUGAGCUAAUUUAGAUUAUAAUCAUAUACCUGGAAAAGAAAAUGUCAGACAUACACUCAUCACUCCAUAUAUAAAUCAUGAGGAAGAAAAGAGGCCCUCUUUAGCAAGCCACAGCUUUCUAGUGAUCCACGGAUAAAUGGAACCCCUGCUGCGUAAGCAGGGGAGACUCGCUGAAGAAAAGAACCUGAUGUCAGCUGUGGCCAUGGCGGGUUGAUCUGGGAACACCAUUGUAGGAAGGGAUCUGCAGGGCUGGGAUGGUGUCUGCAUGUUUAGGGCCAAGGGUUAAGCCACGAGGAAGGUGUAUAGUUGGCUUACCCAAAAUGCCUGGAAAGGGAGGGGCUCUGGAUUCCAGAAUAUUUGCCCCCUGGACUUGGAAUAUUUGCAAAUACGAUGAAAUAUUCAUGGGAUGGGCCCAAGCCUAAGUCCACGGACAUCGUUUGAACUUCACGUACAUUUUCUACAAACAGCACAGAAGUAACUUUAUGCAGUAUUUAUGCUGCCCGUGCUUCAGCCUCUGUGGAGGGCAGCUUCAGAGGCGUCUCAGUUUGGGGUCAUGCUAGCAUGAAAACACUUCAAGCUUGGAACACUGCAGAUUCUAUUAUUUUAAGAACAGGUGCUCAUGUCUUAGAGCUUAGUUUGAUGGUAUCGUAUUGGGGACCUUGGGCAUUGCCCUUUCUUAUUUGGUAAGGAUUUGACUUACAGAGAGAAACUCCGACUCAUGUACAGUUUUCAAAGCAGUUUCCUGCACAGUGCCUACACUGCCUUAAUCCUCCUAUACAGUAUCUACACAGUUUUGUUUUGUUUUGGUUUUUUUUUUUUUU
rnacentral:lncRNA from 1 species